AUUGAACGCUGGCGGCAGGCUUAACACAUGCAAGUCGAGCGGGCGAGGUUGCUUCGGUAACUGAGCUAGCGGCGGACGGGUGAGUAAUGCUUAGGAAUCUGCCUAUUAGUGGGGGACAACAUUCCGAAAGGAAUGCUAAUACCGCAUACGCCCUACGGGGGAAAGCAGGGGAUCUUCGGACCUUGCGCUAAUAGAUGAGCCUAAGUCAGAUUAGCUAGUUGGUGGGGUAAAGGCCUACCAAGGCGACGAUCUGUAGCGGGUCUGAGAGGAUGCUCCGCCACACUGGGACUGAGACACGGCCCAGACUCCUACGGGAGGCAGCAGCGGGGAAUAUUGGACAAUGGGCGCAAGCCUGAUCCAGCCAUGCCGCGGGUGUGAAGAAGGCCUUUUGGUUGUAAAGCACUUUAAGCGAGGAGGAGGCUACUUGGAUUAAUACUCUAGGAUAGUGGGCGUUACUCGCAGAAUAAGCACCGGCUAACUCUGUGCCAGCAGCCGCAGUAAAAC
rnacentral:rRNA from 1 species